rnacentral:rRNA from 1 species
GACGAACGCUGGCGGCGUGCCUAAUACAUGCAAGUCGAACGCACUCUCGUUUAGAUUGAAGGAGCUUGCUCCUGAUUGAUAACAUUUGAGUGAGUGGCGGACGGGUGAGUAACACGUGGGUAACCUGCCCUAAAGUGGGGGAUAACAUUUGGAAACAGAUGCUAAUACCGCAUAAAACCUAACACCGCAUGGUGUAGGGUUGAAAGAUGGUUUCGGCUAUCACUUUAGGAUGGACCCGCGGUGCAUUAGUUAGUUGGUGAGGUAAAGGCUCACCAAGACCGUGAUGCAUAGCCGACCUGAGAGGGUAAUCGGCCACACUGGGACUGAGACACGGCCCAGACUCCUACGGGAGGCAGCAGUAGGGAAUCUUCCACAAUGGACGAAAGUCUGAUGGAGCAACGCCGCGUGAGUGAAGAAGGUUUUCGGAUCGUAAACUCU